ensembl:lncRNA
CUGAUUACGGUAGUCAUUUUGUCACCCUCAUCAUGGCAAAGACUCUGAGAAAUGCAUAUGAUGCAGCUUUCAAGUUGAAGGCGAAAGAUCUGGCUGUUGGAAAAGGAAAUAGAGCUGCUGCACGCUUGGCCUUAAUGAGUCGAUGAUAAGACGUUGGAAACAGCAGCGUGAGAAACUGACUCAGUGCAAAAAUACAACAAAAGCUUUCAGAGGGAAGAAAAGCAGAUGGCCCAAAGUAUUUGCAGCCACUCGACAUCAGCGUAAAUCGUGCAUUUAAGGUGGCGCUCCGUGUUCAGUGGGAGGCUUGGAUGACAAGUGGGGAGAAAUCCUUCACUAAAACGGGCCGCAUGCGAAGAGCAACUUAUGGUCAAGUCUGACAGUGGGUCCUGACAGCGUGGAGCAUUGUCAAAAAAUCCACUAUCAUCAAUGGGUUUCGAAAGGCUGGACUGCUGCGUGUUGAAGAGGGCAGCAUGAGCUCAGCAGGGAAUUUGCCUCCGGAUGAAAGUGACGAGAGCGACAAUGAAAACGAUCCAACAUCGGAUGAAGCAAUUCUGAGGCUAUUCAACUCCGACACCGAAGGAAGAUAGUGACCAAUGACUUUCUUGGUAGGCUACUGUUUACUGCUAUUUUUUGUAUUUUUGUUACAAGCCGUGUUUCGUUUAAAAGCCUAUUUAUUUUUGUUACAAGCCGUGUUUCGUUAAAGCCUAUUUAUUUUUUGUUACAAGCCAUGUUUCGUUUAAAAGCUGUGUAAAGUUCAUUUGUUUCAAUGUACCGGUAGGCACCUGCGGCUUAUAGACAUGUGCGGCUUAUUUAUGUACAAAAUACAUAUUUUUUAAUAAUUCAGUGGGUGCGGCUUAUAUUCAAUUGCGCUUAAUAGUCCAGAAAUUACGGUAAUCAUUGCAUGAAUGUACCUAACCAUAUACAUCAAUGUCUUUCUUAAAAUCAAUACACAGAAGUAUAUAUUUUUAAACCUGCAUAUUUAGUUAAAAGAAAUUCAUGUUAGCAGGCAAUAUUAAACUAGGGAAAUUGUGUCACUUCUCUUGCGUUCAUUGCAUGCAGAAUCAGGGUAUAUGCAUCAGUUUGGGCCGCCUGGCUUGUUGCGAGCUAAUUUGCCAGAAUCUUACGUAAUUAUGACAUAACAUUGAAGGUUGUGCAAUGUAACAGGAAUAUUUAUACUUAUGGGUGUCACCCGUUAGAUAAAAUAAAUACUAAACGCUUACGUAUUUCACUGAAAGAAUAAAUGUUUUUAUUAUUGAAAUUAUAGUUUCCGAAUUUGACCAUAUUAAUGACCUAAGGCUCGUAUUUCUGUGUGUUAUUAUGUAAUAAUUAAGUCUAUGAUUUUAUAUUUGAUCGAGCUGUCUCACUGAGCGGUGGUAGGCAGCAGGCUCAUAAGCAUUCAUUCAAACAGCACUUUCGUGCGUUUGCCAGCGGCUCUUCGCAAUGCUUCAAGCAUUGCGCUGUUUAUGACUUCAAGCCUAUCAACUCCCGUGAUUAGGCUGGUGUAACCGACGUGAAUUGGCUAGCUAGUUAGCGGGGUGCGCGCUAAUAGUGUUUCAAACGUCACUCGCUCUGAGACUUGGAGUAGGUGUUCCCCUUGCUCUGCAAGGGUCGCGGCUCUUGUGGAGCGAUAGGUAACGACGCUUCGAGGGUGGCUGUUGUCGAUGUGUUCCUGGUUCGAGCCCAGGUAGGGGCAAGGAGAGGGACGGAAGCUAUACUGUUACACUGGCAAUACUAAAGUGCCUAUAAGAACAUCCAAUAGUCAAAGGUAUAAGAAAUACAAAUGGAAUAGAGAGAAAUACUCCUCUAAUUCCUAUAAUAACCUCAACCUAAAACUUCUUACCUGGGAAUAUUGAAGACUCAUGUUAAAAGGAACCACCAGCUUUCAUGUGUUCUCAUGUUCUGAGCAAGGAACUUAAACGUUAGCUUUCUUACAUGGCACAUAAUGCACUUUUACUUUCUUCUCCAACACUUUGUUUUUGCAUUAUUUAAACCAAAUUGAACAUGUUUCAUUAUUUAUUUGAGGCUAAAUUGAUUUGAUUGAUGUAUUAUAUUAAAGGUAAAAUAAGUGUUCAUUCAGUAUUGUUGUAAUUGUCAUUAUUACAUUAAAAAAUAUAUAUUAUACUAAUAAAAAAUAAAAUAAAUAUCGUCCGAUUAAUCGGUAUCGGGUUUCGGGUCCUCCAAUAAUCGGUAUCGGUAUUGAAAAUCAUAAUCGGUCGACCUCUAGUCCAGAUACACUAUAUGUGGACACCCCUUCAAAUGAGUGGAUUUGGCUAUUUCAGUCACACCCUUUGCUGACAGGUGUACACAAAUUGAGCACACAGCCAUGCAAUCUCUAUAUACAAAGAGUGACAGUAGAAUGGCCUUACUGAAGAGCAGUGACUUUCAAUGUGGCACCAUCAUAGGAUGCCACCUUUCCAACAAGCCAGUUCUACACAUUUCUGCCCUGCUAGAGUUGCCCCGGUCAACUGUAAGUGCCGUUAUUGUUUAGUGUAAAUGUCUAGGAGCAACAACGGUUCAGCCGUGAACUGGUAGGCCACACAAGCUCACAGAAUGGGACCGCAGAGUGCUGAACGGCGCAGCGCAUAAAAAUCGUCUGUCCUUGGUUGCAACACUCACUACAGAGUUCCAAACUGCCUCUGGAAGCAACGUCCGCACAAGAACUGUUUGUCGGGUGCUACAUGAAAUGGGUUUCCAUGGUCAAGCAGUCGCACACAGUCCUAAGUUCACCGCAAUUGGACUCUGGAGCUAUGGAAACGCAUUCUCUGGAGUGAUGAAUCAUGCUUCACCAGUCCGAUGGACGAAUCUGGGUUUGGUGGAUCCAAGGACAACCCUUCCUGCCCCAAUGCAUAGUGCCAACUGUAAAGUUUGGUGGUGGAGGAAUAAUGGUCUGGGGCUGUUUUUCCAUGGUUCGAGCUAAGCCUUUUAGUUCCAGUGAAGGGAAAUCUUAACACUACAGCAUACAAUGACAUUGUAGAUGAUUUUUAUUUAAUUAAUUUUUUUACCUUUAUUUAACUAGGCAAGUCAGAUAAGAACAAAUUCUUAUUUUC